rnacentral:lncRNA from 1 species
UAUAAUUAGAAAGAGAUACACUAGUACAUAAUCGUGUUCAGAGUAUACAACUAAUCAAGAAUAAAGUGAAAGAAUUAUAAUAGAAAGGUACGAACCAAGGGGUGGGUCCUAUAAUGAGGAGACUCGAAGAUAUUCAUGCGGAAGUUCUCUGACGCUGGGAUCGUGUAGCUCGAUUCUAACUCCUGAGGGAGCGCAAAAACAGAAAAGGUGAGUGGACCAUAAUUUAUAUUAAUAUGACUAAUACGAAAAUCAUUUUCUUUCUGAACAUACUAACCCCGUAUUUUGAAAACAUAUAUAAUACUAUAUAGUAGGCUUUAUAAAAAAAAAUCCUAGCUUGCCGUGCAAAACAUUCGUAAAACAUGUAUGUAAAACCAAUGCUCAGAAAUGGUAAUAUUGUCGCUUGAAGGCAAAUCCGUAAUCUCAUCAAUGAUGUACUCAACUAGGGGUAUCAUAGUCGCCAGAAGGCAAUACCUAUCCAUCACCCGAAGGUGAAGCUGUAUGACACUAGGUUAUGCCAAUGAAGAAACCAGGGUCUAUCAUCCGAAGGUGAAGCUGUACGACUCCAGGGUUACGUUGGAGAAGAGGAUAUAUAACAUCACACAUCGACAGUAACCGCAGGCUAAUGAAGCUGGGGGUAUCAUCAUAAUCGCCCGAAGGCAAUACCUGUCCAUCACCCGAAGGUGAAGCUGUACGACAUUGGGUUACGCCAGUGAAGAAACCAGGGUCCAUCACUCAAAGGUGAAGAUGCACGACUCCAGGUUACGUCGGAGAAGAGGAUAUAUAACAUCACAUUGUGUCCAAUGGCCAUAGACAUCUACAUAUCCGUGUUGUGUGGAUGUGCUGUAUGAUAACCCACUAGAUAAGUACCUCAAACAUCUCAUAUCAAAUCCGAAGCUCAAAGGCUCUAAGCCACAUCUCAUAAAUCCAUGGUAAAUCAUGUUCAUGAAUCCAUAAAAUAAAUCAUAUUCGCAAAUCUGAAUAUAAAUCAUAUUCAAAAUCCAUAGAAAUUUAUAUACGCAAAUCCACUAAUUCGUAAUCUUUAGUAAAAACGUAAUGUCAAUAAAUUAUAAAUAUUCCGUAAACGCAAUUUAAAGAAAUCAUAAAUUACUCGUAAAACAUAUUAUAAAACAUGCUCAAAUCAUGAAAUAUGAAAUGCAUGCUAGGCUAAUAUUUUAUAAAAACAUAUAAGUUAAGAAGGGAUCCACUGACAAAUAAUUUGUUGCUUGAAAACCGCUCAAACUAGCGAGAAUGUUGCCAGCACCACUGAUGCACCUAAACACAUAAAACUCUAUUAAAACGAUCGAAUUUCAAAAAACGGACGGUGGAUUCUGAUUCGGCAUGUCGAAAAACGUAAGGAGGGACCUCGGGUUCCUUCACGCGC